AUAAACUCAGAAGUUUCCUGCAUUGAGGGGCUCACAGAAGGCAGAUAUGCCAUACAAGUUUCAUCUUAUAAAGUUCUUUUUUUCUUUUAACUCCUGUUUUCAAUUACAGGCAAUGUUUUCACUUCUGUUGCUGCUUUCCCACACUGAAACCUUGGACAAGAAAACUGACAAAAUAAGGCAUGGCCAAAUGCUUCAAAGCUACGAAGGUCCUUCCUUACCAAACCCCCAGCUCUCCAACUUCUGUCACAAAGCCCAUCAGCCCUAAAGCUCAGAAGGGCUCAUCGGAUCAUUGAGUGUCUGUCUCUGUGAGAGGCAGGGGAGGGCUGUACCCUUAAACCAUCUUAUUCAAGGGUCUGUCUCAUAUUCAAAUAACUGGAGAAGGAGAAAUGAUUCAUCCCCUGGCACAUUUUCAGAGAGGAUUCCAUAAACAUUUCAUUGUUAUAAUUUAGCUGGGUUU
rnacentral:lncRNA from 1 species